UAGUUGCCUCAUAAAGCUAACUUAAAAAAUUAAAGUGCUAGUUACAUUGAGAGCCAUUAGCUCAGUUGGUAGAGCA
rnacentral:tRNA from 1 species